rnacentral:rRNA from 1 species
AUUGAACGCUGGCGGCAGGCCUAACACAUGCAAGUCGAACGAGUGGCGGACGGGUGAGUAAUGUCUGGGAAACUGCCCGAUGGAGGGGGAUAACUACUGGAAACGGUAGCUAAUACCGCAUACCAUCGGAUGUGCCCAGAUGGGAUUAGCUAGUCGGUGGGGUAACGGCUCACCUAGGCGACGAUCCCUAGCUGGUCUGAGAGGAUGACCAGCCACACUGGAAGUGAGACACGGUCCAGACGCCUACGGGAGGAAGCAGUGGGGAAGAUGGGAAAAUGGGCGAAAGCCUGAUGCAGCCAUGCCGCGGGUGUGAAGAAGGCCUUCGGGUUGUAAAGUACUUUCAGCGAGGAGGCGUUACUCGCAGAAGAAGCAUCGGCUAACUCCGUGCCAGCAGCCGCGGUAAUAC